UGGAUCAGAGGUGACCACUGGUGGCAUAGGAGUCAUGGUGACGGCUGCUAUGUGUCUGGAACUCUGAGGUCCAA
ensembl:snoRNA